UACGGAGGGAGCUAGCGUUAUUCGGAAUUACUGGGCGUAAAGCGCACGUAGGCGGCUUUGUAAGUUAGAGGUGAAAGCCUGGAGCUCAACUCCAGAAUUGCCUUUAAGACUGCAUCGCUUGAAUCCAGGAGAGGUGAGUGGAAUUCCGAGUGUAGAGGUGAAAUUCGUAGAUAUUCGCAAGAACACCAGUGGCGAAGGCGGCUCACUGGCCCGGUACUGACGCUGAGGUGGCGAAAAGCGUGGGGAGCAAACAGGG
rnacentral:rRNA from 1 species